rnacentral:rRNA from 1 species
AACGAACGCUGGCGGCAGGCCUAACACAUGCAAGUCGAACGCCGUAGCAAGUACGGAGUGGCAGACGGGUGAGUAACACGUGGGAACGUACCCUUCGGUUCGGGAUAACUCAGGGAAACUUGGAGCUAAUACCGGAUACGUCCGAGAGGAGAAAGAUUUAUUGCCGAGGGAUCGGCCCGGCGUCUGAUUAGCUUGUUGGUGAGGUAACGGCUC